CCGAGACCGGCCCCCACCCUUCUGUUUUCAUCUUCUUCCACUCACCCCUGACACUCUCCCCUCCCACAGUCCCAGAUUUUUCUCUUCUCUUUCCUCUAACCUCCCACGCCCAUUGCAGUCUUUUUUUUCUCACAUCAAAACUUCUCUCUCUCUCUCUCUCUCUCUCUCUCCCAUGAAUUUAUGUGAGUGUGGGUGUUACGGUGGGUGGAUCUCCUUGGAUUGGUGUUACCGUUGAGUCUCCUCACCGGAAGUGCUGAACGGUGAUCGCUCCUCCCUUUUGUGAUGUACCAUCACAACAGGUCACCUUGUCACGAGUUGACUCUCCUUCCGCCGCCGUGCAAUCUGCUUUGGUUCGAGUAUUAGUUUCUUGCGAUUACCAUCAAAACCUACCAGCAGACGUGUAGUUAAGCAAAGGUAAAUGCUUUUCCCAUAUACACUGUCCGGCAUACUUCUCUGCCGCCUCUUGAAAUUUGCAGUUUUUAAACCGUGUGAAAUGUUUUAUAUACUAAUCACACCGUAAUGAUUCUGAGUAUUAUUGCUGGAUUUCCACUGGCAUACAACCCUUUCGUGGUCAUUAUACUGGUAAGAUAUGAUCUCAUUCGAUACAUUUAUCUUGCGUAUUUUGUCGAGUUAUUUCAUCGCGUUAUGUCUUCAAAGACCAAACCCAAGAGUAGUAUUGUGUGCUGGUUCACAAGACUGUACAUAUGCUUUUGGACAGUGUUGCUCGGUUAGCUUAUUUUAUUGCCCACUUCACUACACUAGGUAUGACACUUCACUGGUAUUAGACUCGGUUGCUCAUUUAUGUGCAUGAUAUGAGUAAAGUAUUAUUGCUGGAAAUUUAAUGAAUGAUAGUUAUAUGGUUAUUGUGAAUUAUAGGUUGGUUUUAAUGGGGUUAUAUGUGAAAUAUUGAGUUUGAUGUGGUUGUGUGGGUGAUGUUGUGCGGCUGUAUUGGGUAAUUAUUUAUUUUUUUGGUUGUUCCGGGUUUGAGUAUUAACUGUUGAGUUGACGUUGGCUGUUGUGAGUCUAUAAUAUACUACAAUAGUCUAUAAUAUACUAUUGAAGUUGAGUGAUGGAUUGUUGAGCUGAUAUGUGAUUUGCUUGAUUAAAAAUUGGCUGUUGGGUUGAUGAGCAUGGUUGUUUGGAUUGAGAUAUGUGGUUGGCCAGGUUUAUUCUAUAACUGUUAUUGAGUUGAUCAUGUGGGGCUAGUUGUAGUUGACCUAUUGCGAGUUGUGUGAUGCUCGGGACUAAAGUAUUUGCUGGUUUAGGGUUUAUUAAAUAAGCUAGUAGCAUGCUUGUUUGGGUUGAUAAUUGAUUGGUAACUGUUUAUAAUUGAUUUAGGUGGUUAUACUGUUAGAGGUUAGACCCAAGGUGUAACUUAUACACGGCAAGAGUCAUGUAAGGGGCAUAAGUUAUACUAGACUUUGCAUAAAAGAAAAUGACUGAUGUUGAUUUUGAAAAUAUGCAUGUUUUCUUUUUGAAAAGAAACCUGAAAACAACCUUAUAUAUAUAUGUGUGUUCUGCAUACUCAUGAAAUCUGUAUAAAGAGAGUAUUUUUUUUUGUCAUGAUUGGUGUAGAUAUGAGUGAGUUUUUGUUGGCAUUCAGUUUGUGAACUAUAGAAAAAGAGUGAUUAUGAAAAUUUGAGAAUUUGAACUUGGUUUAUGAAGAUGCUUUGGUUUUGUUUAUGAAAAUGCAAGAAUGAUUUGAAUAAGUUUUGUACUCUGUUUGAUAUGAUAUGGCAUUUGAAAACCUUUGGCUUGAUGUUCUAAUUCAAUAUCUAAUUAUGAUCUGGUUUUGAUUAUGUUUUUUCUCUCUUUCAUUGAGGCCCUGCAUGGGUAUAAUAGUGGUAUACGACCCUUCCAUGAGUAUAAAAGUGGUAUAUGGACCUACCACAGUUAUAAUAGUAGUAUAUGGCCUUGCCAUGAGUGUAAUAGUGGUAUACGACCCUAUCAUGGAUAUAAUAGUGGUAUACAGCCCUGCCACAGAUAUAAUGGUGGUUUAUAACCCUACCAUAGAAGUUAAAUAUUGUUUUUGUCCCGAUAUGAUGCUCUAAUAUGAUAUGAAGAUGAUUUCUCAGAUUAUAAUAUGCCAAAAGGAUCUUUGAAUAAAAAUGUUUUCUGAAAGUUUCACUAUGAUAUUUUGAUAACAUGUUUUUAUUCUUCAUUCUGAAAGUAAAUGUUUUCUCCAGCAUUAAGAACUUUGUAAAUGCUCAUGUUUACAUGCUAGUAUAUGUUCUCUUCUUACUAAGUUAUUGAUAACUCACCCCUUUAACUUCACAGUAUUUUAGAUGACUUUGAUAGUUCAGCUGAGGAUCAAAAUAGCAUGUGUGGGCAAGAUUAAUUGAGGAUAGUAAUUGAGUACUCAAGUUAUUAUUUCUAUUGAGGGAUUUAUUUUAUUUAAUAGAUGGAUUUUCAGUAUGUUUAGAUGGCUUAUGGAGAUUUAUGUAAACUUUGGUUCAUUUUAUUAUGUUAUUUGGGAUACGUGGAGCAGUUGAUCAAUUUUAUCCAGUUUAUUGUAUUGAGAAUAUGAUAGAUGAGCACGUGUAGUUAAUUAAAUUAGAGGAAUUUAUGUUUGAUUUGGAGUCUUUGAAAGUAUAUAUUUGGAUUUGGAGAAUA